rnacentral:rRNA from 1 species
UACGUAGGGUGCGAGCGUUAAUCGGAAUUACUGGGCGUAAAGGGUGCGCAGGCGGCGUCACAAGUCAGGCGUGAAAUCCCCGGGCUUAACCUGGGAACUGCACUUGAAACUACGAUGCUGGAGUAUGGCAGAGGGAGGUGGAAUUCCACGUGUAGCGGUGAAAUGCGUAGAGAUGUGGAGGAACACCGAUGGCGAAGGCAGCCUCCUGGGCCAAUACUGACGCUCAUGCACGAAAGCGUGGGGAGCAAACAGG